UGCUGGAGGUAUCAGAAGUGCGAAUGCUGACAUAAGUAACGAUAAAGCGGGUGAAAAGCCCGCUCGCCGGAAGACCAAGGGUUCCUGUCCAACGUUAAUCGGGGCAGGGUGAGUCGACCCCUAAGGCGAGGCCGAAAGGCGUAGUCGAUGGGAAACAGGUUAAUAUUCCUGUACUUGGUGUUACUGCGAAGGGGGGACGGAGAAGGCUAUGUUGGCCGGGCGACGGUUGUCCCGGUUUAAGCGUGUAGGCUGGUUUUCCAGGCAAAUCCGGAAAAUCAAGGCUGAGGCGUGAUGACGAGGCACUACGGUGCUGAAGCAACAAAUGCCCUGCUUCCAGGAAAAGCCUCUAAGCAUCAGGUAACAUCAAAUCGUACCCCAAACCGACACAGGUGGUCAGGUAGAGAAUACCAAGGCGCUUGAGAGAACUCGGGUGAAGGAACUAGGCAAAAUGGUGCCGUAACUUCGGGAGAAGGCACGCUGAUAUGUAGGUGAAGUCCCUUGCGGAUGGAGCUGAAAUCAGUCGAAGAUACCAGCUGGCUGCAACUGUUUAUUAAAAACACAGCACUGUGCAAACACGAAAGUGGACGUAUACGGUGUGACGCCUGCCCGGUGCCGGAAGGUUAAUUGAUGGGGUUAGCGGUAACGCGAAGCUCUUGAUCGAAGCCCCGGUAAACGGCGGCCGUAACUAUAACGGUCCUAAGGUAGCGAAAUUCCUUGUCGGGUAAGUUCCGACCUGCACGAAUGGCGUAAUGAUGGCCAGGCUGUCUCCACCCGAGACUCAGUGAAAUUGAACUCGCUGUGAAGAUGCAGUGUACCCGCGGCAAGACGGAAAGACCCCGUGAACCUUUACUAUAGCUUGACACUGAACAUUGAGCCUUGAUGUGUAGGAUAGGUGGGAGGCUUUGAAGUGUGGACGCCAGUCUGCAUGGAGCCGACCUUGAAAUACCACCCUUUAAUGUUUGAUGUUCUAACGUUGGCCCCUAAUCGGGGUUGCGGACAGUGUCUGGUGGGUAGUUUGACUGGGGCGGUCUCCUCCUAAAGAGUAACGGAGGAGCACGAAGGUUGGCUAAUCCUGGUCGGACAUCAGGAGGUUAGUGCAAUGGCAUAAGCCAGCUUGACUGCGAGCGUGACGGCGCGAGCAGGUGCGAAAGCAGGUCAUAGUGAUCCGGUGGUUCUGAAUGGAAGGGCCAUCGCUCAACGGAUAAAAGGUACUCCGGGGAUAACAGGCUGAUACCGCCCAAGAGUUCAUAUCGACGGCGGUGUUUGGCACCUCGAUGUCGGCUCAUCACAUCCUGGGGCUGAAGUAGGUCCCAAGGGUAUGGCUGUUCGCCAUUUAAAGUGGUACGCGAGCUGGGUUUAGAACGUCGUGAGACAGUUCGGUCCCUAUCUGCCGUGGGCGCUGGAGAACUGAGGGGGGCUGCUCCUAGUACGAGAGGACCGGAGUGGACGCAUCACUGGUGUUCGGGUUGUCAUGCCAAUGGCACUGCCCGGUAGCUAAAUGCGGAAGAGAUAAGUGCUGAAAGCAUCUAAGCACGAAACUUGCCCCGAGAUGAGUUCUCCCUGACUCCUUGAGAGUCCUGAAGGAACGUUGAAGACGACGACGUUGAUAGGCCGGGUGUGUAAGCGCAGCGAUGCGUUGAGCUAACCGGUACUAAUGAACCGUGAGGCUUAACC
rnacentral:rRNA from 1 species